rnacentral:rRNA from 1 species
GGAAUAUUGGUCAAUGGCCGGAAGGCUGAACCAGCCAAGCCGCGUGAGGGAAGACGGCCCUACGGGUUGUAAACCUCUUUAGCCGGGGAACAAGGCGCGGGGCGCGUCCCGCCGUGAGCGUACCCGGAGAAUAAGCAUAGGCUAACUCCGUGCCAGCAGCCGCGGUAAUACGGAGGAUGCGAGCGUUAUCCGGAUUUAUUGGGUUUAAAGGGUGCGUAGGCGGGCUGUUAAGUCAGCGGUCAAAUGUCGGGGCUCAACCCCGGCCUGCCGUUGAAACUGGCGGCCUCGAGUGGGCGAGAAGUAUGCGGAAUGCGUGGUGUAGCGGUGAAAUGCAUAGAUAUCACGCAGAACUCCGAUUGCGAAGGCAGCAUACCGGCGCCCUACUGACGCUGAGGCACGAAAGCGUGGGUAUCGAACAG